UAAUCGGAAUUACUGGGCGUAAAGGGUGCGCAGGCGGCGCCAUAAGACAGAUGUGAAAUCCCCGGGCUCAACCUGGGAACUGCGUUUGUGACUGUGGUGCUUGAGUGCGGCAGAGGGGGGUGGAAUUCCACGUGUAGCAGUGAAAUGCGUAGAGAUGUGGAGGAACACCGAUGGCGAAGGCAGCCCCCUGGGUCGACACUGACGCUCAUGCACGAAAGCGUGGGGAGCAAACAGGAUUAGAUACCCAGGUAGUCCACGCCCUAAACGAUGCGAACUAGGUGUUGGGGAAGGAGACUUCUUUAGUACCGUAGCUAACGCGUGAAGUUCGCCGCCUGGGGAGUACGGUCGCAAGAUUAAAACUCAAAGGAAUUGACGGGGACCCGCACAAGCGGUGGAUGAUGUGGAUUAAUUCGAUGCAACGCGAAAAACCUUACCUACCCUUGACAUGUCCGGAACCCUGGUGAGAGCUGGGGGUGCCCGAAAGGGAAUCGGAACACAGGUGCUGCAUGGCUGUCGUCAGCUCGUGUCGUGAGAUGUUGGGUUAAGUCCCGUAACGAGCGCAACCCUUGUCAUUAAUUGCCAUCAUUUGGUUGGGCACUUUAAUGAGACUGCCGGUGACAAACCGGAGGAAGGUGGGGAUGACGUCAAGUCCUCAUGGCCCUUAUGGGUAGGGCUUCACACGUCAUACAAUGGUCGGUACAGAGGGUUGCCAACCCGCGAGGGGGAGCCAAUCCCAGAAAGCCGAUCGUAGUCCGGAUCGGAGUCUGCAACUCGACUCCGUGAAGUCGGAAUCGCUAGUA
rnacentral:rRNA from 1 species